rnacentral:rRNA from 1 species
UACGGGGGGGGCAAGCGUUGUUCGGAAUUACUGGGCGUAAAGGGCUCGUAGGCGGCCAACUAAGUCAGACGUGAAAUCCCUCGGCUUAACCGGGGAACUGCGUCUGAUACUGGAUGGCUUGAGGUUGGGAGAGGGAUGCGAAAUUCCAGGUGUAGCGGUGAAAUGCGUAGAUAUCUGGAGGAACACCGGUGGCGAAGGCGGCAUCCUGGACCAAUUCUGACGCUGAGGAGCGAAAGCCAGGGGAGCAAACGGG